AUGCAACCCAACGUUGCUCGGAGUUCACACGCAUUGUCUUCCAAAACCAACAUUAUGCCUUCCCUCGAACUCAACAACGUCACUUGGGUCCAUCCAAUUCAAAUCCUUCCUCACUUGUUCCAAGAGCUCCGCAUAGCUAGGACUACUCUCAAACACCAUGUCAAGCUCAUCCGGGUCCGACUCAACAUUGCCUUUCAAAAAGGCCUCUUUAUCCACAUGAUGAACAUAAACACAUGUUCUUCCCAUCCCUACAAUAAUAAAAACACACAUAUAUCAAGUAAGUACUUAACCAAAUAUUUGCACAAAAUACAUAAGCCCUAA
rnacentral:rRNA from 1 species